rnacentral:rRNA from 1 species
AAGGUCGAGCGUGAAAGCCUUCGGGUGAGUAGAGCGGCGGACGGGUGAGUAACGCGUGGGAAUCUGCCCAGUAGUGGGGGACAACUUGUGGAAACGCAAGCUAAUACCGCAUACGCCCUACGGGGGAAAGGAGGGGAUCUUCGGACCUUCCGCUAUUGGAUGAGCCCGCGUCGGAUUAGCUAGUAGGUGGGGUAAUGGCCCACCUAGGCGACGAUCCGUAGCUGGUCUGAGAGGAUGAUCAGCCACAUUGGGACUGAGACACGGCCCAAACUCCUACGGGAGGCAGCAGUGGGGAAUAUUGCACAAUGGGGGAAACCCUGAUGCAGCCAUGCCGCGUGUGUGAAGAAGGCUUUCGGGUUGUAAAGCACUUUAAGCGAGGAGGAAGGCUUGAUGCUUAAUACGUAUCAAGAUUGACGUUACUCGCAGAAUAAGCACCGGCUAACUCCGUGCCAGCAGCCGCGGUAAUACGGAGGGUGCAAGCGUUAAUCGGAAUUACUGGGCGUAAAGCGCGCGUAGGCGGUUUGUUAAGCUAGAUGUGAAAGCCCAGGGCUCAACCUUGGAACUGCAUUUAGAACUGGCAGGCUAGAGUACAGAAGAGGGUGGUGGAAUU